AGAGUUUGAUCAUGGCUCAGAACGAACGCUGGCGGCGCGUCUUAAACAUGCAAGUCGAACGAUCUGUAGCAAUACAGGGAGUGGCGGACGGGUGAGGAACACGUAGGAAUCUACCUAGAAGAGCGGGACAACUUUGGGAAACCGGGGCUAAUACCGCAUAGUACAGAGAUGUUAAAGGGCUAGCAAUAGUCGCUUCUAGAUGAGCCUGCGGUCUAUCAGCUUGUUGGUGAGGUAAUGGCUCACCAAGGCAGCGACAGAUAGCCGGUCUGAGAGGAUGAUCGGCCACACUGGCACUGAGACACGGGCCAGACUCCUACGGGAGGCAGCAGUUAAGAAUCUUGCGCAAUGGGGGAAACCCUGACGCAGCGACGCCGCGUGAAGGAUGAAGGCUUUCGGGUUGUAAACUUCGGUAGACUGGGAAGAAGAACUACGUUCGUUGAGGGCGUAGAGUGACGGUACCAGUCUGAAGCCCCGGCUAAUUACGUG
rnacentral:rRNA from 1 species